AAAUUAUAUCUUCCUUCUUCUCAACCAGGCCUUGCCAAGAAUGUAAUUUAAGUUCCUGUCUUGGAAUCUUGCCCUCACUCAGGUGAAAUGUGGAUCCUGCUAAUGAUUGGAAUCUAAGACUGCAUCUAAACUAGAGGGUGAAGUGUCCCUGUAUCCCUUUCCUGAUCUGCAGCUGCUGCCUGGGAUGGCGAGACUCUGCUUCUGCCAUUGCCAAAACAGGAUAGCUAACAUCCUUUACCUCCAUCUGGGACCUCUUCCCUGUUUCAUCUGAGAAGGCUUCCUUUAAGUGGAACACAACAUUAUAGAGGAUGGCAUUGAAAUAAUUGCUAUCAUUUAAUAAAAAUUUCUGGUGAUUCCAUUAUAUUGUUUCAAUAGAAUUCACUCUGAUUUUAUAGUGCUAUAUUUGGUUUUAUUUGGUAUUCUGGAAAUAGGGCUCAGCAUUUGAAUAAUUCCCAUUAAAAACCAGACAGGUUCUUACUAAAUCAAGCACCGAUUCCAUACUCUUUUAUAGGUUGCCUCUGUUGCUGCAGCAUUUGUUCAGGUGCUAUUUGUUAAUGGGCAACUUCAGUGGCUCGACUACCCCUUUCCAUGGGUUGAAUAUUUUAAAACUGGACAGCGCUUCAAAAAGAGGGUGGCCAGGAUGGCAAUUUGCAAUUUUAAGUUAGUAUGCCUUCAUUAGAAUACUUAAUUUUGAAAAAAUCUCAGCAAAGAAAUGAAUUCAUUCCUCUGGUAAGAGGAACCUGAUUCUUCCCUGGUAGAAAGCUCUGGAUAGGAAGAAUGAAACAGAGAAAAGUCAAAAGAGGGAAGGAUUUCUGGAAAGAAGAAGUGACUUUUUCUUUGAAUCCUUUACUCACCAUUAGUUUUGGUCCUCACAACUACUGAUGUGAUGUUAGCUAGUUACACACGUCACUCCUCAUUGGAAAAGCUGUCUGCUCUGGCAAUACAGGAUGGUUUCAAAAUAAAUAGGAGUAGGGAAUUGUUAGAGCUCACAAGACUACACUGACCUUUCCUGGGUUGGUUCUCCACUAUCCGAAUUUAUAAAACUUGUUUUCAAAUAACCUUUACAAAGAAAAAAAAUCCCUAUAGGAACUUUCGGUUUCUUUCAUUAUUCUCCACAGUACUGUAAUACUUACAAUGGAGCAGAACAAUUGAAGUGUUUUAACCUUUGCAUUAUAUAUGUUUAUAUAUGUGUUUUGUGUGUUUUAAAAUAUGCAUUUUAUGAUGUGUAUUUUAUGGUAAUGUGUACUCUGCUGUACUCCACCUUGAGCUGUGGGUAACAAAUAAAAUUAUUAUUAUUAUUAUUAUUA